UAUUUCUAAAAACUUAAUUUCUUUGUGCACCAGCAGACUAGUCUUUUUAAAUUGCUAAAAUUGAUUUAUUUUCCGUUUGUCAACAAACCUAGCUGCUUGACAGUAAGACCAUGCUAUAUGCAUUGCGGGCGAACUAUGAAAAAUUCGGUCUCACUCCCAAGAAAACGAUUUUUCGACUAGAAAAACUCUUAGCCGAUCUGAGUACUAGGCUUAAACAACCCAGCUGAUUACUUGAAAAUAUUAGGGUGACGGACAAAAAAAGACCGAAUAUCCAGCGUCAGGACAGUUGCAUGAAAAGUCCAGCAGCUUAUGGAGGUACUCACCGCGGUGAGCUAUGAAAAUAUCAGUAAAAAUAUCAGAUUUCCGCAAAGAAUAAAAAAUGUGAUAUUAUGCUAUUCUCGUGCAAUAGCUGUAUCAAAACAAAUGUAAAUGGAAGGAAAUACCCGACAGCCAACGAAAACACGCAUGCAUAAGUCACAGGACGCAUUUGUGUGCUGUGCUUAUAAAGAGAAACUGGAAGGAGAUAUCGUAGGCUAUGGAUAAAAAUUAGUCAUGAGCAUUAGAGCAUGACGAGUGGAACCACGCUUCUAUAUGGGCUUAUUGUUCGAGAUAUGGAAAACUGAAUCGCAAAUUUCGAAUCAGGCUCCCACUCCCUCACCAUGCUUCCAAGAUGCUGCCAAGAUGAAGAAGAAGAUGACGAAGCUUCUGUGUUAAGCUUUAAGCUACUAAUUUACACUCGUCAUUUUUUAAUUGCUCCAGUCGACUUGUUUGCCGUUUGUCAACAAACACAGCUGACUGACAGUAGGACCAUGCAUGUAGUGCAUUGCGGAUGAAUUCUGAAAACUUCGGUCACACAUCAUAGAAUAAGGUUAUUUGACUGGUGCUACUGUUUUUCGAUCUGAGUACUAGGCUAUAAGGAAAAACAUCUCUUCAAAACUGCUUAGUAAUUUGAGAGCCCCUUUUCCCAAAAAGCACCAUUUCGACGUAAUUACUUAAUUACUGUAAUGUACGCCCUCUCCAUAAAUUUUGUAAUGAAGAGAUAUUCACUUAUAAAAGAACAAAGAAUCUUGCGAUACAAAGAGACUGGCGCAAAAUGCUGGUUGACUCAGAAAAGCGAGGAACACAGGUGUGGUAUGGCUAGAACAACGGCCACGAUCGACAUAUUGGUAACUUUGAACCCGACCACUAACAAAGUGCAGAAGUCCGGCGUUGACUCCCUAAAUAGGGAAUAUCAAGAAUUAGUAGUCCUAGUUAAUGCGAUCCAUACAAUUAACCAUGUAAAAGUUCUAGUCUGGUAUACAAGACCUUGGCCGAUUAUAGAAGUGAGGGCAGUGGUAUUCUAUUCUGGUAUUUUACUGCAGGGAUGCUGCCAGCUCUAAGGAAAAGCGACAUUUCCCAUGGGCUUAGGCAUCCGCCCACGGAGUCUACUGCUACCAGGAACAGCAGCUCGAAAGCAUCUUAUGUAUCGGGCACCUUCGCCAGUGUUAUCAAAGAACGGGGAUCAACCAUAAGGUCAACAUCCGACAUACUGUCACGUUUGUGGCCGCAGUACUCGUGAAAAAGAAUUAAAAACCAUAGCACAUUAUGGUUGCGGUGCUGACGAGAGAAGUGGAGUAGGUCGAGAACAAUGAUAUAACUUUCAACGGACAACCUUGACUGCCCAUUUGGCACACGAAUGUGUGAAUAUUGCCGAAACACAGCGCGAUCGUGUUAUAAUCAAGCGACUGCUGAGCUUGUAGGGCAUUGUGGACUGAUGACGGACGAACUUUACGAGUUUAAAUUUUUCAAACACUUUUAAUAUUUAUUCUCGCUAUGUUCGAGAGGAGAGAGGUCUUUCUAGAUCCCACGACCGAAAUACGACGUAGCUUAUGACGGCAACAUGGUGCCUGAACAACGGACGCUUCUCCUUCGCCCCAAGGCCUUUUCAAUACUCGAGAUCUAAUAUGCCCAAGUAACAGAAUUAG